UACAGAGGGGAGCAAGCGUUAUUCGGAAUCAUUGGGCGUAAAGAGCGUGUAGGCGGCCAGAUAAGUCCGCUGUGAAAUCUCGAGGCUCAACUUCGAGCUGUCGGUGGAAACUGUCUGGCUAGAGUCCGGAAGAGGUGAGUGGAAUUCCGAGUGUAGAGGUGAAAUUCGUAGAUAUUCGGAGGAACACCAGUGGCGAAGGCGGCUCACUGGUCCGGUACUGACGCUGAGGUGCGAAAGCGUGGGGAGCAAACAGG
rnacentral:rRNA from 1 species